AUGAAGACACUGACUGGACCUUUUGUCCUAUGCUUGUGGCUGCAGCUGAACUGUGUGAGCAGAGGAGAACAGCUGGAGCAGCAUCCUUCUCUCCUGAGUGUCCAGGAGGGAAGCAGUGCCGUUAUCAACUGCACCUACACAGACAGUACAAAUUAUUACUUCUACUGGUACAAGCAAGAGCCUGGGGCAGGUAUCAAGUUCCUUAUGAAUGUUCUUUCAAAUGUGGACAGGAAAGAAGAACAAGGACUCACUGUCCUACUGAAUAAGGAGGACAAACGUCUCUCCCUGAACAUCACAGCUGCCCAUCCUGGGGACUCAGCCACGUACUUCUGUGCAGCAAGAGGAAACAGAGCCCAGUCAGUGGUCCAGCCUGAUGCUCACCUCACCGUCUCUGAAGGAGCCUCACUAGAGCUCAAAUGCAGCUAUUCUUAUGGUGCAACACCUUACCUCUUUUGGUACAUCCAGUAUCCUGGCCAGAGCCUCCAGCUUCUCCUCAAAUACUUUUCAGGAAACACUCUUGUUAAAGGCAUCAACGGCUUUGAGGCAGAGUUUGUGAAAAGUAACUCCUCCUUCAACCUGAGGAAAAACCCAGUCCACUGGCGUGACUCAGCCAAGUACUUCUGUGCUUUGAGUGACACAGUGCCUGAGGCUGCAGGGGGAGCUAAGCACAAACCUCCGGAGACUUUCUGUGACUUGAAAGCACACCACGAAUGA